UCUUAUAGGAUUAGGUCUUAUAAACGGCCAGCAGCCGCGGUAAUUCCAGCUCCAAUAGCGUAUAUUAAAGUUGUUGCAGUUAAAAAGCUCGUAGUUGAACCUUGGGCCUGGCUGGCCGGUCCGCCUCACCGCGUGCACUGGUCCGGCCGGGUCUUUCCUUCUGGGGAGCCGCAUGCCCUUCACUGGGUGUGUCGGGGAACCAGGACUUUUACUUUGAAAAAAUUAGAGUGUUCAAAGCAGGCCUAUGCUCGAAUACAUUAGCAUGGAAUAAUAGAAUAGGACGUGUGGUUCUAUUUUGUUGGUUUCUAGGACCGCCGUAAUGAUUAAUAGGGAUAGUCGGGGGCGUCAGUAUUGAAGUGUCAGAGGUGAAAUUCUUGGAUUUCUUCAAGACUAACUACUGCGAAAGCAUUCGCCAAGGAUGUUUUCAUUAAUCAGUGAACGAAAGUUAGGGGAUCGAAGACGAUCAGAUACCGUCGUAGUCUUAACCAUAAACUAUGCCGACUAGGGAUCGGGCGAUGUUAUCUUUUUGACUCGCUCGGCACCUUACGAGAAAUCAAAGUCUUUGGG
rnacentral:rRNA from 1 species